AAAUUUAAUCUAUCGUAUUAAUCAAAUUUUACAAACAUCGUUUCAAUCUUUCGAGAUAAUUUUACAAAUAAAAAAAAAAAAAAGGAAAAAAAGAAAUACAAUAAAGGAAAAAUGAAAAGAACAAAGUAGAAAGAAGUAGAGGGAAGCAUUUUAUAGCGGCCUGGUCGUUUCUCGACAGUGGUACAAACCGUUUAUGGGCAGACGUAAUGGUAAAAACACGACACUACCAGUUGGAUCUCGAAUAUUCUCAUAAAGACUUCUCUCUUUCUCCUUCACCUUCUCUCUCUUUUUUUCUCUCCGUCUCUCUGUCUGUCUUUCUCGCUCUUUUAAAAGCAUUCUCAUUGCUAUAAUACGCGAUUCGCGUUAGUGAGAAGCGAGAAGAUCAGAAGUACUACAAAGUCUUGUCUCGUGUAUUAGUAUGUAUGUGUGUGUGUUUGUAUAUAUGCAUGGGUUAGUGCGAUCGAGCUGGUGGAAAGGACCUCUUCUAUCCGUGUCAUUUGCAUCGAAAUGGCAAACGACGGCUCUCGCCGUCAGACAUGGCGCCAACGUUAUGCGAAAUUUCCUCUGCCUAUUUUCGCAAAUUCAAAUUUGCCAAUUUCCGGCGUGUAUCGUAUCGUAUCAUACCCCUCUCCCUUUCUCUCUCUCUCUCUCUCUCUCUCUCUCUCUCUCUCUCUCUCUCUCUCUCUCUCUCUCUCUCUCUCUCUCUCUCAUAUUCUCAUUCUCUGACGCAUUCAAGUUAGCAAUGGCCAUCGUUACUAUCGCUAACACCAACUCCAACUACUAUUGUCUUUAGAAAUAGAGAAUAGUUACUCUUGUGGCUUCCAGAUAGACUCUCUCGAAUAUUGUAGGAAAUUGGAAAAUAUUAUAAACGUCGAGAUUCAUUACGAGAACAGAAGGAAUUGUUUUCGCUCAACAAUAAACAGGACGAUUGUUCUACUAUUCGAAAAUAGACGACUUAACGAAAAUUUUGAAUUAUUUUAAAUAAUAAAAAAUUCAAUCUAUCUUUUACAUGUGAAAUAUUUAAAUGCAUUCUGAAUUCUUAUUAUUUCAUAUUAAAAAAAAAAUAAAUAAAAAGAAAAAUGAAAAUAACGUAAUGGUAGUAGAAAAAUGCAACAGACAAAAGAAAUCGUAGAAUCAAAUCCAAAAUAAAAGACAAAAAUUGGAGGGAGGCACUGGUGUUACGUUUUUUAGCUUUCGCAUCUGCGAACUUUCAACAAAUAAGCGAAAUAACGAUCCUCAUUAUUUCGAUUGCUGAAACGAGAACUGAAAGAGAGAGAGAAAGAGAAAGAGAGAAACGGAAAGAGAGCGUGUGUCGUCGUAUGAAAGAGGGUGUAAAAAUAGAAAGAAGAGGGCUGGUGAAAACGUAGGGGUGGCGAAAAAUCGUUGCGUAAUCGAGUCAACGUCGGUAACGAAGGAAAAGAGGGGUGUGAUUACGUGGCUGGAAAAAAACCUGUGCCGUUUUACGAGGGAACCUGGAAACGAUGAACACACGGCUGGAGGAUCACAAGAACCGAGAAAUAGGCUAACAGACAGAAUAAUCCUGCAACACUCGGUAGACAAUAUAACUGUUUUAUCUCGUUGUGUCUUUGUCUUUCUAAAUAUGUAUGUAUACAUAUGCGUAAACAAGAAGUUCAGGUUUUUCUCUUAUCAUUUUUCAUCCGAAAUUAUCGAUGAUUAUGUUAGAACGAGUAAACUUUUUUGGUGUUAUUUUCUUUUUUUUUUUUUUACAAGUUUAUACGAUCGUAAAGAUUUUAAAACUCCUAAAAAGUUCCUUCUUGUCAUUCUAUUUCCGAGAAAACAUUACUUUAGAAUUCACAUCUCCUCGAAUACUUUCGAAAAGUGCCUAAUCUUUCAUUAGUGUUAUUACACAAGAGCAACUUCUGACAAAAGGGAAAGAUACAAACUUAUUUAUAACAUUAAGGUCAAUGAAACAAAAGGAAAGAAAAAGAGUUGGAGAGAGAGAAAGAGAGAGAGAGAGAGACAGAGAGAAGUUCUUUGAAAUGAAUGAGAAAAGAAAGUUCAGAAUACUCGAACUUCCUUUCUCUUUCUUUUUUUCUUUCUUUAUUUCCUUUCUUUCUCUCUUUCUUCUUUUCUUUCUUACUUAGAAACGAAAGAAGAGUGCCGACUCCAAAUAGAGUGCAGGCUACUUUGACCAAAUGUAAUUAAGCCUUGAACUGCUGCAUGGAUCAAACCAUCCCACCUUACUCUUUCUCUUUCUGUCUCUCUUGUUCGUUCCGUUUCCUUUUCUUUAUUCCCUUCUAUCAAAAUGAGCGAAUUCUUUUGCGAGAAAGGGGCUAAGUUUCUGUGCUGCUCUGCAUUUUUUAAAUACAAUUUUCUUUGUUGAACCAAAGGAACUUAAAUGAAAGAACUGUUUCUCUCUCUCUCUCUUUCUCUUUCUUUCUUUCUUUCUUUCUUUCUUUUUCUCUCGUUCUUUCUUCGUCUCGGACGUGACCUUCGUCUUUUUAAUCCAAAUGAUCCAACCGCUGAAGUCAAAUUAAAAGAUUCUUCUUGUAAAAAACCGGCAAAAAGACGAAGAGCGAUGACGAUUUUCACUAAAUGGAACCUCAACGAACGUUCUAAUAAUUUAUUCUAAGAGGAUUCAACGAUUGUUCAGAACUUUAUAUAGAUCUGCCUUUGUAAACUUCGCCAAUUUCUUCUUUUCGUCUUUGGAUUUAUCAAUUAUUCGAUUAGAAUUCUUUUUAUUGUACUCUAAUGCUUUUUCUAAAUCUGAAAUUGUGUGAAUCUAUGAAACGAGAAUAUAAUGUCCGAAAUUAUCGUUAUUGGCGAUCGAUAAAUCCUAAAAAUUCAUAGUGAUCUAAUGAUAAAUUAUUAUUACAAAAGAGGGAUGAUAUAACUGAUCUCGAGUUAUUAGAAUAAGCCGAUAUAUUCGAAUAUUCGAAAUUACAAGCUUGGAUCGGAUCGAUAAUAUUUUUCGAGUUCGAAUCGAGAUCCCGAAAAUUUGUCAAUAUAUAAAUAUAUUCAUGUACCUAUUAUUUCCAGACCCAAUUUGUAAUUUGAUAUCGAUUUAAUUCAUAAUAUAAUUUUUCCAUCUAGUCUUUAAAUUAUGAUUUACAAUCUUUUUUACAUUUAAACUUUUAAAUUACGAUAUCACAGUCUAAUCAGAUGUAAGAAUUUCUAAGAAAGAAAAAUAAUCGAGUCCUGAAUCGCAAAAUGGUUUGUGUCGAUAAAUUUUUCGUAUUUCGAUCAGACCCGUGCCAAUCAUUAUUUAAUCCGAUCCAAAAUUGGAGUACUCGUAAUUUCGAGUACCCGAACAUCCUUAAUUAUUAGCUCGCAUUGAUCAGCUAAAGAUCAAAAGGUGAUGAAGGAAGAUUAAAAAUAAUUUUGAUUGUUACUUCUUAGAAGCAGCAGCCAUCAGAUUCUUUCAUUACGCCGUUCCACUUAACGAAAUUUCAAAGAGAAGAUAAGAAAAAAAGAGAACGUCGUUUUUCGGUCUAUUGCAUAGCAAGAUAUCUCUCUUUCUUUCUCUCUCUCUCUCUCUCUCUCUCUCUCUCUCUCUUUCUCUCCCCCUGUUUCUCCCUCCCUCUUACUUGAACGGAGCCGAAUCGUUUAGUAUUUCUCGGCUGAUUAGAUCCGAGCAGACGAUCGUAGGAAAUUGCUGGAGACAUUUUCUCCUAGCAAAGGAAGAGAAAGAAAGAAAGAGAGAGAAGAGAGAAAGAGAGACCGGGAACGAAUCGCGUGUUAGCUUUCUUUCACCGAACCGUCUCAAGGAAAAAGGAAGUUUUCUACCUAAGUAAGGAUUCCUCGGGAAAUUGUCGUGGGAUCCGGCGACAUCUCAUUUCGAAAUCGAGCUAGUCACCAGGCAUUCUCGAGUACUCGACGGGGAAGAGAGAAAGUAAGAAAGAACAUAAUAUUCUCAAGGGUAUAUCGACUAGCACGUUUGAUCGGAGAACUGGAUCUUGAAAGAAGAAGACCACUAAAGAAAUCCUCAGAGAAUCAACAGAGCUGGGAAAACGUUGCUUUUUUUUACUGCAAUCAACUGCAAAGGCUUUUUAAUAUCUUUAAAUUUCAAGAUUGUGAUCAUAAGAUUGCUGUCUUCCUUUAUCUCUUUCCACUAAUAUUUUAAUACCAAUAUUUAAAAAUUAUUAAACAACUACGUGUUUCAGUAAUUAAGAAAAAGGUUUCAGUAAGUGAAAAAUCGUAGAACAAUAAUAUUUCUGAUAAAAUAAGUCGGUCAAAUUGACGAAUGAAAAUUUCAUUGAAAGGUUAUAGACGAAUGAACGUUAUCAAAUCACUGGCGGGAAAUUCGAAUAGGGGUGAGGGACCCGGUAAACGGAUCGGCAUAAUUUACGAGCUCGGACGCAAACGCAUCUCAUUCCGAUCGCACCUGUUCGAUAGGUGGAAGGGUAAUUUAUUAGCCUGUGCACAAUCCCAAUUCGACGUAAGGACAAUAGACCGUACAGACUGAUAAUGGCAUAUGCAAUCAUCGAGAGGAUAGCGAGCAUCGGCCAUGUUGUCACUCACAAGAUGGCGACUGAUCGUUAAUUUGAUAUUCAUAAACUCAUAGAAACGAAUCUAACAAAAUCAACUUGAUAUUUAUGUACAUAUUACGAUAAAUUAGAUAUCCGUGAAAUUAAUUUAUACGAAUUUAUAAUUUCGCUUUAUUUAUCAUAAUCACGAAAUAAUUAUUUGAAUGAGUACUCGAACGUGUACUUUUAUCGCCAUAUUGGAAAUAUAUAAUUACUGUAUCUACAUGAGAGACAAAAAACCAAUCAUUAAUAAAGACGUUGAUUAAAAUCCAAUUCUUUUUCCACACGCGAAAGAGAUUACUUCUCGCUUUGCUUAGAGACAGUGCCACGAGAGGUUCAUAGAAUUAGUGCAGGUCGCACGAAAGUGCAGCGGCUUUCCGGUAACAAGAGAGAGAGAGAGAGAGAGCGUUAGCCUAGAAACAGUAGUGGUUAGCAGAAGGAGCACGAGAGUAGUAGAACUCUGCUAGCGCGAUAACUUCGUUAAUGCACACAUGUCGUGUCUAAUGAGUUAUAAUCAGUCGAGCACCGGCUGAGUGUAGUUUAAUGGUUUGUUCGCUCGCAUUAGGCCCUACUAUCACCCUCUCACUUUCUCUCUCUCUCUCUCUCUCUCUCUCUCUCUGCCUUUCUCAUCUGCUUAUCUCUCUCUUCUCUCUCUUUAUCUUAAAUUCGCAUGAAAGCGUACUACUUUUGAGCUUAUAUAUAGAAUAACUUGCUCUCCGUUACCUCAACGAAAUUCAAUGAACGUGGUUUUCUCUCUCUCUCUCUCUCUCUCUCUCUCUUUCUCUCUCUCUCGCUCUCGCUCUCUCUCGCUCUCUCUUGCUCUCUUUCUCUCUCUUUCUCUCUCUCUCUCUCUCUCUCUCUCUCUCUCUCUCUCUCUCUCUCUCUCUCUCUCUCUCUCUCUGUCGAGUUUGUUCACUUAACAAGCACGAAAUAUACGGUCGGAUGUUGCAUUGAAUUUUCGAAUUUUUUCGAUAGGAAAAGACAGAGAGAGAGAGAGAGAGUACGUGACCAGAGUCUACAGUAUGUACGUAUACCUACCUCUCGUUAUAUUUAAUAACGAAGUCCACUUUUAAUAACGAACUUUACGUAUACUAUGUACAAGAGUAUUAAAAUGAACAUAUCCGUUUUGCUGCAAAAUGAUAAUGAUACGAAAAGGAAUCUUCUCUCUCUCUCUCUCUCUCUCUCUGUUUCAUUUUAUAUAUGUAGAUACAAUAUACCGUGAAAAUUAAAAUCGGUUAGAAAUCAUUGAUAAGAACACCGUGUACAUUUAUUCGUUCGUAACAGUUUUAUCAACUGAUUCGUAUAUGGAAAAUAAACGUAACGAGUGUGAAAGCUAUUCGUGUUUUUUAUCAGCGAUAAAUGAUACGCAUGAACAAACAACCAGUUAAUUAAAUUCGCCAUCUAUCCCCCACUCUUCCGUAUACAAUUUUUUUUCUUGUUUCCACAUAAACACAUAUAUAUACACGUAUGCACCCACGCACUCACCCACAUCCGCACGCACAUAUGUACGUAUCGGAGCGAUGAUCGUCGAAUCGCAAAAUUUCAACGGUCUCCGAACGAAACGAUUUAUUUUUUAAUCGAUUAAUCGUACAAAAAGUUGUACGAGACAUCUUGUAAAUUUAUUAAGUAUACAUGUAUACCGCUUUUUUCCUUUUUUUUUAAUUAAAUGACUUUUUUCAAUAACCUUUUUUUUAACUAACCAAAAUAUUCUAAAAUUGUUAACUGUAUAUAAAGAAACUAGGUACACGAAAAAUUAAAUGCAAAAUCGUUUGUUGUUAUAAUAAUGAUAAUAAAUGUAACAUUUAUUAAAUUUUUUCUUAGCUUUACCGUUUUCUCUCUCUCUCUCUCUCUCUCUCUCUCUCUCUCUCUCUCUCUCUCUUUCUCUCUGUUUUUCGGUACCUCUCCUUUCCUUUCUCUUUCAAGAUUACAACCCUAGAGCCGACCUAAUUUCGCAACAAACAAUCUCAAUCUGACAGAAGUUCCUGAGACUCGUUACAACUGUUGCCGCCACAUGUUUGCUUUGUCCAAGCUCGAUAAUUUAACGGGACGCUCUAAUUAGAUCUCGAGGUAUUCCGUGAUAUUAGGAUGAAAGAGAGAGAGAGAGAGAGGGAGAGGGAGAGGGAGAGGGAAAGGAAGGAAAUGAAGGAGACAAAGAGAAAGACACAAUUUCCCCAUAUAUUGUCUCACAGAUUCUGAAAUGUAAAUUUUGGAUUGUGAUGUGAUCACGUGCUAGACUACUAGAUAACACACUUCACAAAACUAAUAAGACGCACUUUCUGAACUUACUGCUUUUUCCAUAUAUAACAUAUUAUUCUCGAAUAAUUAAUUUCAUUCUACCUCUCUCUCUCUCUCACACACAAAUAAACACACAACCACGUAUACUCACUCUCAUCACGUGUUUCCCCUCUCUCUUCAAAUAAACAUUAUUUCUAAUCUUAAACAAAUCGUUUCUACUUAAAUAAUUUAUCUAACACAGUUUACCGACACAAUCCUCUUUGCGGGCAAGGUGAAAUGUUUAUUUUCAAUUUAAAUUUUUGAAUGCGAGAUAAUAAUUCACCUGCAAGUGGAAGAUAAUGUGCCACAUCUAGCUCUGUCAUGUGAUCCUGAUACAAAACCUGGUUUGCGGGAAAAUUGAAUGCUUCAUCGAAGCUCUCUGAAUUUUGAACAGGAGAAAAUAACUUACCUGGAGGUGGCAGGAUUUCACGUGCCACCUCUAGCUCUGUCAUGUGAUCCUGAUACAAAACCUGGUUUGCGGGAAAAUUGAAUGCUUCAGCGAAGCUCUGAAUUUUGAACAGGAGAAAAUAACUUACCUGGAGGUGGCAGGAUUUCACGUGCCACCUCUAGCUCUGUCAUGUGAUCCUGAUACAAAACCUGGUUUGCGGGAAAAUUGAAUGCUUCAGCGAAGCUCUGAAUUUUGAACAGGAGAAAAUAACUUACCUGGAGGUGGCAGGAUUUCACGUGCCACCUCUAGCUCUGUCAUGUGAUCCUGAUACAAAACCUGGUUUGCGGGAAAAUUGAAUGCUUCAGCGAAGCUCUGAAUUUUGAACAGGAGAAAAUAACUUACCUGGAGGUGGCAGGAUUUCACGUGCCACCUCUAGCUCUGUCAUGUGAUCCUGAUACAAAACCUGGUUUGCGGGAAAAUUGAAUGCUUCAGCGAAGCUCUGAAUUUUGAACAGGAGAAAAUAACUUACCUGGAGGUGGCAGGAUUUCACGUGCCACCUCUAGCUCUGUCAUGUGAUCCUGAUACAAAACCUGGUUUGCGGGAAAAUUGAAUGCUUCAGCGAAGCUCUGAAUUUUGAACAGGAGAAAAUAACUUACCUGGAGGUGGCAGGAUUUCACGUGCCACUUCCAGCUCUGUCAUGUGAUCCUGAUACAAAACCUGGUUUGCGGGAAAAUUGAAUGCUUCAGCGAAGCUCUGAAUUUUGAACAGGAGAAAAUAACUUACCUGGAGGUGGCAGGAUUUCACGUGCCAUCUCUAGCUCUGUCAUGUGAUCCUGAUACAAACCCUGGUUUGCGGGAAAAUUGAAUGCUUCAUCGAAGCUCUGAAUUCUGAACAGGAGACAAUAACUUACCUGGAGGUGGCAGUGUUUCACGUGCCACCUCUUGCUUUGUUAUGGGAUCCGGAUGCAAAUGUAUAGUAAUAACAAGUUUCAUGGUAAUGAUUUAUCGUAGGUGGGCGGAUUGAUGAAGAGAGUGAGGGAGAAAGAGGAAGUUAGUGUGAGAGAUAAAGAGAGAGAGAGAGAUAGAGAAUUAUCAGGAACUCUUCGCAGAUAGGAAAGUACGUGGAUUGGGGUUAUGUGAAGGGAUGGCUUAGCGUGUGCCACAGCAAAUGACGCAUCCACGCAACCUGGAAGCCUUUCUCUGCAACCUAUAUUAAGCCGUAAUCUUGGGGAAUAUGAUAGGCGACACACUGUCAUUCCCUCCUAACGUUACUGUACCUAAGUCUACUCAUCCCUUUCCUUGUACCAACUUUUACCCCAUCUGCCAUACAUUUCUCAGGCUCUCUGGCAAAGUUAGUUAGAUCUAUAUGUGUAUAUUUAUACGUUAGAGAAUAUCUCCAUACGAGCCAAUUUUAGAUGUUACUUCUCUCUCUCUCUCUCUCUUUCUUUCUUUCUCGAGCUCUCUAGCUUUACUGUCCUAUCUUCAGUUAUAGGAGUUAAUAUUUAAUACGAAUUUUCAAAUUCACUUUAUCUUUCUUUUUCUCUAUCUCUGUCUCUUUUUGAUCUUUACACUGUAACAGUUAAACUUAUCAAUAUUAGAUUGAAACUUUU